GCUCUUUCCGUUCGUAUUCCCCUAAUCUCUUCGAAUCCCUUCAUUCUCCAAAUCUCUCCGAAGCUUGCACUGCUUGAAGGUCACUGUGGCUCGAUUUUCUUCUCCCUCACCAUGACGAUCUGAAUCCCAUCAUCAUUGGAGGUGCCAUCUUUUCGACGCUCAUCCCUGCUGAUUGUAUACAAAUUAUUAUGGCAAGAAAAAGGUUGAGGAAGGUCACAGUUCAGCAUUCAUCUCGGGACCAACAAAAUCUUCCACAAUUUGAUAGUGAUCCUUCAAUCUAUGUAGACUCCAAUCAUGGGAAUCAAUCAAGGGAUUUAGAAGGAGAGCCAACUAAUGCAUCUGGCUAAGGAUGGAGUUGAGCCAUCAAGAGCACAUAUUUUCAUUGAAACUCAUAAGCAAUGCAAGGAUGAGAGGCCCAUUGAUGAUGAGUCAGCUUGAAUAGCUGAUGCACGCUGUCAGUUGAUGGACUGCUUUGGAUUAAGAGCUCAAUUGAUACUCAUGGAGUUCAUUGGAGCUAAGACAAGAUUGUUAAGAGUUCAUUUAUGAUUGUAAUGGAUAUAUGUUUUGCUAUGUUUGUAUUUGAGAGUUGCAUGUACUUGACAAAAUAUACAAUGUAAACUCUUUU